AACGAACGCUGGCUGCAUGCCUAACACAUGCAAGUCGAACGAGCCCUUCGGGUCUAGUGGCGCACUGGUGCGUAACGCGUGGUAUCCUGCCCUUACGUUCGGAAUAACUCCCCGUACUGGGUGCUAAUACCGCAUACCGUCUUCGGCCCAAAGAUUUAUCGCCUUUGGAUGGGCCCGCGUUGUAUUAGCUAGUUGGUAGGGUAAAAGCCUACCAAGGCGACGAUCCAUAGCUGGUCUGAGAGGAUGAUCAGCCACACUGGGACUGAGACACGGCCCAGACUCCUACGGGAGGCAGCAGUGGGGAAUAUUGGACAAUGGGCGAAAGCCUGAUCCAGCAAUGCCGCGUGAGUGAUGAAGGCCUUAGGGUUGUAAAGCUCUUUUACCCGGGAUGAUAAUGACAGUACCGGGAGAAUAAGCGCCGGCUAACUCCGUG
rnacentral:rRNA from 1 species